UAUAUUCUCUUGAAGUCAGAUGAAGCUGAACAUGUAUGACGGGAUUAUUUUUUUCUCGCGCUUUCUUGAAUGUAUUUUUUUCCGCGGUGCAGAAGAUUGAAAACGUGCCUCUGAGACGCCCGGCUCAGAUCAGCUGCUCGUCCGUCGUGACGGCAAAACGUUUGAGGAGAUUUUAAAACAACGUGCCUUUCUCCUCCGCUGGAGAUUAAUCUGACUUCACACCUCGGGAGGUGGAGGAGGAGGAGCAAGAGGAGGAGGAGGAACUCUUCGUCCUUGAGCUUCUCAUGUUAAAUUCUGAAUGUUGGUGUUGUGUUUUCAAGGAUGCAGACGCUCUGGAACUGAAACAUCUGAUGAAACAUGAAAUAAUCUCAGCUCAGUGUUUUCAGUCUUCAGUUUAAAACCAUCACGACUGUGAUUCUUCUCUGCUCUGUUUCUGGGUCAACGUCUGUUCAUUUAAAAACAUAUUAUGGCCAUCGUUCAUGUUCAUAGUUUCCAUCUCGUCUUCCCUCCUCACACCUGCAGGUUCCUCACGUCCUCCCUCCUCCCCCUCACUCUCCUGACAAUUUCUAAUUUAAUAUGAAGAAAAGAACUGCUUUAUUUUCCUCUCCGGCCUCCGGUUGAUGCUUUACACCGUCUUUCAUCACUCCAGUUCUCAGAGCAGCUACUGUACAAAUAUGCCGAGUGGUUGAAUGAAUCAGAUCUGAUUCAUGAUGCCGGUGGAGGCUCUGAGGCGACGGGCAGCAGCGACGUGAUGAUGAGCUCGUCUCAUCCUGAUCCAACAUCGGCAGCUGCUUGUCUCACGCUGAACCCAUUCAUCUUCAUCUGCUCGGCAACAAAUGCAAACUCAUUAAACUGAUAAAUGUCUCCGAGAGUUUGUUUGUGCCUGUCGAGUAUUUUCCACUUGAUGUUUCCGCUCCUGGAACGUGAUGGACGGUCGAGUCCUGAACUUGGAAUUUAUCAGAAGAAACGAUACAAAUACAGAGUUCAAACCACAGACCAGAGGGGGGCGCCACUGAGCCUGUGGGCAACAGGAGAGACAGACUGAAUAAAGAUGGACCAUGUGAUCGCCCCCUGGUGGCUGGCUGCAGUAUAGGUCAUAAGCUCCGCCCCCUGGUGGCUGGCGGCAGUAUACAUCAUGAGCUCCGCCCCCUCCGCGGAGCUCCGCAUCUCGUUCGUUUCCCAGGAAACAAACAUUUAAUGAAACGCCAGCGGGAGGAGAGACGCCGCUGACGAGUCCGUCAAUCAUAGACAUCACAUUUCUGCCUCUGACUGAUCCUCUGAGAGACGCUCGCUCGUUUUAAAUCUGAUAGACCUCCCAUAAGUCUGGGGCUUCUUCUCCUCCGUCUGUUGGUUUGCUCUGAGCCGGACGGAGUUAGUCUGCAGAGACGCUCCGGACUGAAGCAGACAAGGCCAGAGAUCUGAUUCUGUUGCCUCAGAGUCGCAGCAUCAGCAGCCGUCACUGACCCACUCACUCGUCAUCGGUCGAUCAGCUGAUCGAUCGGCCGGAUUUCAAACUGCACAUGAACAACAGCUGCAUGAGAAAAGAUCCGUCUGAUCUGGUCCAGGUUCAGUUUGAUCUUAUCGAGUUAUCUGAUCCUUAGAUUGUUCUUCCUCAAGUCGCUGGUUUGAAGCUUCGAGUCGCUGCAGAGAGUCGACGUCUCGCUGAGAAGCUUUUGUUCUUCUGACAGAGUUAGCAGCCUCUUCUCACUGGCCACGCCCCCAACGAGCAGCACAGAGGCUCAUUACUGCUGCUGCACACACACACACACACACACUCACACACACACACACACACACACUCACACACACAAACACACACACACACACACACACACACACUCACACACACACACACACACACAUACACACACACACUCACACACACACACACACACACACACACACACACUCACACACUCACACACACACACACACUCACACACACUCACACACUCACACACACACAGAAACGCUCACACACAGACUCUUCAUGUUAUACCUCUGAUCUUCCCGCUCUGUCUUGCUGUGUGUGAGGAUUUUAAUUUUUUUAUAAAUAUAUAUAUGUUGCUUCUAAUUCAGUCAUUGGAUAUUAAAGGUUUGUUGUUAAUAUAGAACUGUAAUUGAUUUUUAUCGGUGCUUCCUCGUCUUUAAAUCGUGUUCAUGAUUUCAAUUUAUGGAGAUCCUGCAGAUUUUAUUUUGUGUUUUUAUUCUUCUUUAAGUCUUCAUGUUGUUUUAUAUAUUCCAUGUUGUCCUUAUUGUGCGUCUCUUGUGUUCAGCGGAGCCUCACAGGGACAGUAAUGAUAUUGAUCUUGAUCCUUCAGGUUCAUAAUGUGAAGGAGAAGAGAGUUAUGACAUGUUAUGGAUCUACUUUUCUUUUACAAAAUAAAAGCUGAGGUACCUACACUGGUGAUUUGGUUGGUGGGUAAAGAAGCGUAUGAUUAGUAUACAAUUAGCAUAUGGUUAGCUAACUGUAGUCAUGUUUCCCUCGACAAAUAUUUUCUGCACAUUUUGAAGCAUCAGAUGAGGAAAAGUGGAGGUUGAGAAGGACAAUAUAUGAUCAUAUAUGGUGUAUAUCCUGCAGUGCAUAUCAUAUUGUAUUAGAUGACAGAUAUUGUACAUUACAUGUAAAUUAUACUGCAUUAGGUUUUAUAGCUAUAUAUUAUAUUAUAAAAUAAUAUUGAGUUGUAGUAGAUGUAAGAGAAAAGCAUAAGAUGUAGGAUAAAUAUGAAAUUCAUUUGUAUCUUGUUAUAAAAUAAAGAUUAGUGGUGAUCAGUA